ACUCCUACGGGAGGCAGCAGUGGGGGAAUAUUGCACAAUGGGGGAAACCCUGAUGCAGCCAUGCGCGUGUGUGAAGAAGGCCUUCGGGGUUGUAAAAGCACUUUCAGUAGGGAGGAAGGUAGUGUAGUUAACACCUGCAUUAUUUGACGUUACCUACAGAAGAAGCACCGGCUAACUCCGUGCCAGCAGCCGCGGUAAUACGGAGGGUGCGAGCGUUAAUCGGAAUUACUGGGCGUAAAGCGCAUGCAGGCGGCCUGUUAAGUCAGAUGUGAAAAGCCCGGGGGCUUAACCUCGGAAUUGCAUUUGAAACUGGCAGGCUAGAGUCUUGUAGAGGGGGGGUAGAAUUUCAGGGUGUAGC
rnacentral:rRNA from 1 species